rnacentral:tRNA from 1 species
UGUUCUGUGGCUUAGUUGGUUAAAGCGAUGGUCUAGCGAAUGCGGAGUCGUGGGAUCGAAUCCCACUAGAACGC